CCAAACUUGGUCAUUUAGAGGAAGUAAAAGUCGUAACAAGGUUUCCGUAGGUGAACCUGCGGAAGGAUCAUUACUGAGAAUGCUCUCCGGAGCCCUCAAACCUUGCGUACCCAUCUCGUACUUGCGGGUGGCCCUCGGGCGCCCGCGAGGAUUCAAACCGUUUGACUAUCGUCAGAUUCUUACAAAAGAAAACAACUUUCAACAAUGGAUCUCUUGGCUCCGGCAUCGAAGAAGAACGCAAACUUUCUCUUUUAGAGGAAGUAAAAGUCGUAACAAGGUUUCCGUAGGUGAACCUGCGGAAGGAUCAUUACUGAGAAUGCUCUCCGGAGCCCUCAAACCUUGCGUACCCAUCUCGUACUUGCGGGUGGCCCUCGGGCGCCCGCGAGGAUUCAAACCGUUUGACUAUCGUCAGAUUCUUACAAAAGAAAACAACUUUCAACAAUGGAUCUCUUGGCUCCGGCAUCGAUGAAGAACGCAGC
rnacentral:misc_RNA from 1 species